rnacentral:rRNA from 1 species
GACGAACGCUGGCGGCGUGCUUAACACAUGCAAGUCGAACGGACAGGCCCUGCUUUUGUGGGGUGCUCGAGUGGCGAACGGGUGAGUAACACGUGAGUAACCUGCCCUUGACUUUGGGAUAACUUCCGGAAACUGGGGCUAAUACCGGACAGGAGCCCCUGCUGCAUGGUGGGGGUUGGAAAGUUUCGGCGGUUGGGGAUGGACUCGCGGCUUAUCAGCUUGUUGGUGGGGUAGUGGCUUACCAAGGCUUUGACGGGUAGCCGGCCUGACAGGGUGACCGGCCCCAUUGGGACUGAGAUACGGCCCAGACUCCUACGGGAGGCAGCGGUGGGGAAUAUUGCACAAUGGGCGGAAGCCUGAUGCAGCAACGCCGCGUGCGGGAUGACCGCCUUCGGGUUGUAAACCGCUUUCGCCUGUGACGACGCGUGAGUGACGGUAAUGGGUAAAGAAGCACCGGCUAACUACGUG